UAUUUAUUUAUUUAUUUAUUUUUGGUUUUUUUGGUGAUCCCUGGCUCUCUCUGACGGCCAGCAGAACCCAGUCUGUGAGCCCCAGGCCAGUGAGAGACCCAGGAAAAAAAAAGGUAGAAACCACCUGGGAAAAUGAUAACUUCGCGUACGAGGCACAGGCACACGCACACACACGUGCGCCCACACUCAAGAGUGUGGGUGCCUCUCCUACCUCUUCCAGGGUAGGAACAGAACCAACAGACACCAUGCAAAAGCUGCCUGUACACCAGCCAGAAACUUGGGCGCUGUCCAGAGUCCCCCCGCCAGCUUUGGGCAGGAGACAUUUCCCACCCCACCCCACCACCACCAGUUCUCAAGAACAGUCUCACACAUCAGGAAGCUUCAUGUAAGCUCGGUUUUUUUGUUUGUUUGUUUUCACGGCACCCCGAGAGCCUCACAGGACUCGGGGCCCCUCCGUUUGGCUUUGGUGACUCUCCUCAAGCUCAGGGCAUGAACUGGAGGACACCCCGCACGUCAAGCUCUGCCUGAAGGAGCACUCUGCUGGCUGCCUGAGGAGACAGAGGCGCUCAGGACUCAAACUCCAGAGUAUCCUGCCGUAUCUGAGCCCACACACACCCCAGCAGGGAAGCCACAGACCUCGUUGCUGGGAGCCCAGUGCAAAGUUGACCCGGGGAAUCCAGCGCUGGAGGUAACGUUCUCCUGCACAAACCGGCUCCAACUUUUCCUCUGGCUGUGCUGACCUCGGACGAAUAGAGAGACAGGAUCCGGUAGGCGAACACUCUUCUCCAGGGGUUGCCAGACACUUCCGCUGGUGGAGACUUUGAAUCCAUUUAAGCUGUGUGACCCGGGCAAGUCUGGCCGUGGUUAAACCAAGGCAAGGGUCCGGAGUGAAGAACUGGACCAAGAUCUCGGCGGCCACCAUGCACCCAGCAAAGGCAGAAAUCUGCUGCCGUGGAGUCAGGUCUGCAGCGGUUCUGGACGCUGGCGUCUCAAGCAUUUGGAAGGAGGUCCAAACCACUGCAGGGGUGAAAGGCUCUGCUUGGGGGACCCCGAGAGGGCAACCACACCCCAUACAUCCUGGGCCAGGGCACCGUGAGCAACAUCGACCUUGAGUUUGCCCAAGACAGUCUGCUCUUGAGGCUUCUCCUUCAAUCUUCCUUCUCAAAGACCCCGUCAAGACUGGUGUUGAAGCCGUGCGUUGGUGGUGCACGCCUUUAACCCCAGCACUCGGGAGGCAGA